GACCUGAUAGCUCAGCUGGUAGAGCAUUACACUUUUAAUGUAAGGGUCCUGGGUUCGAAUCCCAGUCAGGUCAUUU
rnacentral:tRNA from 1 species